GGCUUCGGAUGAUCUAAGCAUGCGAGUCAUUGUAGUAAUACAAGGCAGACGGCUCAGUAACGCGUAGUCAACCUAACCUAUGGACGGGAAUAACCUCGGGAAACUGAGUAUAAUGCCCGAUAGAACAUUAUGCCUGGAAUGGUUUAUGUUCCAAAUGAUUUAUCGCCGUAGGAUGGGACUGCGGCCUAUCAGUUUGUUGGUGAGGUAAUGGCCCACCAAGACUAUUACAGGUACGGGCUCUGAGAGGAGUAGCCCGGAGAUGGGUACUGAGACACGGACCCAGGCCCUAUGGGGCGCAGCAGGCGAGAAAACUUUGCAAUGUGCGAAAGCACGACAAGGUUAAUCCGAGUGGUUUCUGCUAAAGGAACCUUUUGUCGGUCCUAGAAACACCGAUGAAUAAGGGGUGGGCAAGUUCUGGUGUCAGCCGCCGCGGUAAAACCAGCACCUCAAGUGGUCAGGAUGAUUAUUGGGCCUAAAGCAUCCGUAGCCUGCUUUGUUAGUUUUCGGUUAAAUCUGUACGCUCAACGUACAGGCUGCCGGGAAUACUACAAAGCUAGGGAGUGGGAGAGGUAGACGGUACUCGGUAGGAAGGGGUAAAAUCCUUUGAUCUAUUGAUGACCACCUGUGGCGAAGGCGGUCUACCAGAACACGUCCGACGGUGAGGGAUGAAAGCUGGGGGAGCAAACCGGAUUAGAUACCCGGGUAGUCCCAGCCGUAAACCAUGCAAACUCAGUGAUGCAUUGGCUUGUGGCCAAUGCAGUGCUGCAGGGAAGCCGUUAAGUUUGCCGCCUGGGAAGUACGUACGCAAGUAUGAAACUUAAAGGAAUUGGCGGGGGAGCACCACAAGGGGUGAAGCCUGCGGUUCAAUUGGAGUCAACGCCGGG
rnacentral:rRNA from 1 species